GUCCUCGCUUCAGCAGUACAUAUACUAAAAUUGGAAUGAUACAGAGAAAGUCCAUUACAGAAGGGCCCCUGCACGGGAUGACAUGUGAAACUUCAGGCUGUUUGGGUUAUAA
rnacentral:snRNA from 1 species